GAUCGGAUCAAGCGCGAUAAGGGCGUUUGGUGGAUGCCUUGGCAGCAAGAGGCGAUGAAGGACGUGGCACUCUGCGAUAAGCCCGGGGGAGGCGAGAGCACCCUUUGAUCCCGGGAUGUCCGAAUGGGGAAACCCACCUGACACUCGAUUGUUGUCGACCCAGGUCGAUCAACAAUCAGGUGAACCAGGUACUUUUUACCUGAAUACAUAGGGUUAAAAGAGCAAACGCGGGG
rnacentral:rRNA from 1 species